GACGAACGCUGGCGGCGUGCUUAACACAUGCAAGUCGAACGGAAAUGCCCUGCUUUUGUUGGGUGAUCGAGUGGCGAACGGGUGAAUAACACGUGAGUAACCUGCCCUUGAGUUUGGGAUAACUUCAGGUACCUGGGGAUAAUACCGGAUAGGAGCUUCUACUGCAUGGUGGGGGUUGGACAGUGGCGUUGGUUGGGGAUGGAAUAGAGGCUUAUCAGGUUGUCGGUGGGGUAGUGGAUUACCAGGGCGUUGACGGGUAGCCGGCCUGAGAGGGGGACCGGCCACACUGGGAUUGAGAUACGGCCCAGACUCCUACGGGAGGCAGGAGAGGAGAAGAGUGCACAAGGGGCGGAAGCCUGAUGCAGCAACGCCGCGUGGGGGAUGACGGCCUGCGGUUUGUAAACCGAUUUCGCCUUUGACGAAGCGAGAGUGACGGUAACGGGUAAAGAAGCACCGGCUAACUACGUG
rnacentral:rRNA from 1 species